rnacentral:rRNA from 1 species
GACGAACGCUGGCGGCGUGCUUAACACAUGCAAGUCGAGCGGUAAGGCCCCUUCGGGGGUACACGAGCGGCGAACGGGUGAGUAACACGUAAGCAAUCUGCCCAUCACAUCGGGAUAACUCCGGGAAACCGAAGCUAAUACCGAAUACGACCACCUCCGGCAUCGGCUGGGGGUGGAAAGUUCCGGCGGUGAUGGAUGCGCUCGCGGCCUAUCCGCUUCUUGGUUGGGUAACGGCCCACCAAGGCUUCGACGGGUAGCCGGCCUGAGAGGGUGACCGGCCACACGGGGACUGAGACACGGCCCAGACUCCUACGGGAGGCAGCAGUGGGGAAUAUUGGAGAAUGGGCGAAAGCCUGAUACAGCAACGCCGCGUGAGGGAUGACGGCCUUCGGGUUGUAAACCUCUUUCAGCAGGGACGAAGCGCAAGUGACGGUACCUGCAGAAGAAGCACCGGCCAACUACGUG